rnacentral:rRNA from 1 species
CCUACGGGAGGCAGCAGUGGGGAAUAUUGCACAAUGGGGGAAACCCUGAUGCAGCGACGCCGCGUGAGUGAAGAAGUAAUUCGUUAUGUAAAGCUCUAUCAGCAGGGAAGAAAAUGACGGUACCUGAGUAUGAAGCCCCGGCUAACUACGUGCCAGCAGCCGCGGUAAAACGCAGGGGGCAAGCGUUAUCCGGAUUUACUGGGUGUAAAGGGAGCGUACGCGGCAGUGCAAGUCUGGAGUGAAAGGCCGGGGCUCAACCCCCGGACUGCACUGGAAACUGUCCGGCUGGAGUGCAGGAGAGGUAAGUGGAAUUCGUAGUGUAGCGGUGAAAUGCGUAGAUAUUAGGAGGAACACCAGUGGCGAAGGCGGCUUACUGGACUGUAACUGACGUUGAGGCUCGAAAGCGUGGGGAGCAAACAGGAUUAGAUACCCUAGUAGUC